AUUGAACGCUGGCGGCAUGCCUAACACAUGCAAGUCGAACGGAAACGAUGGUAGCUUGCUACCAGGCGUCAAGUGGCGGACGGGUGAGUAACGCGUAGGAAUCUGCCCAGUAGUGGGGGACAACCAGGGGAAACCCUGGCUAAUACCGCAUACACUCUACGGAGAAAAGGAGGCCUCUUCUUCGGACCUCGCGCGCUAAGAUGAGCCUGCGUCGGAUUAGCUAGUUGGUGAGGUAAUGGCUCACCAAGGCGACGAUCCGUAGCUGGUCUGAGAGGACGACCAGCCACACUGGGACUGAGACACGGCCCAGACUCCUACAGGAGGCAGCAGUGGGGAAUAUUGGACAAUGGGCGCAAGCCUGAUCCAGCAAUACCGCGUGUGUGAAGAAGGCCUGAGGGUUGUAAAGCACUUUCAAUUGUGAAGAAAAGCCUGAGGUUAAUAGCCUCGAGUCUUGACGUUAACUUUAGAAGAAGCACCGGCUAACUCUGUGCCAGCAGCCGCGGUAAUACAGAGGGUGCGAGCGUUAAUCGGAAUUACUGGGCGUAAAGCGUACGUAGGCGGUUUAGUAAGUCAGAUGUGAAAGCCCUGGGCUCAACCUGGGAACUGCAUUUGAAACUACUGAACUAGAGUGUGGUAGAGGUAAGUGGAAUUUCAGGUGUAGCGGUGAAAUGCGUAGAUAUCUGAAGGAACACCAGUGGCGAAGGCGGCUCUCUGGACCAAUACUGACGCUGAGGUGCGAAAGCGUGGGGAGCAAACAGGAUUAGAUACCCUGGUAGUCCACGCCGUAAACGAUGUCUACUAGCCGUUGGGAGGCUUGACCUCUUAGUGGCGAAGCUAACGCGAUAAGUAGACCGCCUGGGGAGUACGGUCGCAAGAUUAAAACUCAAAUGAAUUGACGGGGGCCCGCACAAGCGGUGGAGCAUGUGGUUUAAUUCGAUGCAACGCGAAAAACCUUACCAGGCCUUGACAUCCAGAGAACUUUCUAGAGAUAGAUCGGUGCCUUCGGGAACUCUGUGACAGGUGUUGCAUGGCUGUCGUCAGCUCGUGUCGUGAGAUUUUGGGUUAAGUCACGUAACGACCGCAACCCUUAUCCUUAUUUGCCAGCACAUAAUGGUGGGAACUAUAAGGAGACUGCCGGUGAUAAGCCGGAGGAAGGCGGGGAUGACGUCAAGUCAUCAUGGACCUUACGGCCUGGGCUACACACGUGCUACAAUGGACAGUACAGAGGGAUGCUAAGCCGCGAGGUGGUGCUAAUCUCAUAAAUCUUUUCGUAGUCCGGAUCGGAGUCUGCAAUUCGACUCCGUGAAGUCGGAAUCGCUAGUAAUCGUGGAUCAGAACGCCACGGUGAAUACGUUCCCGGGCCUUGUACACACCGCCCGUCAUACCAUGGGAGUGGGUUGCACCAGAAGUAGCUAGUCUAACUGUUUACAGGGGACGGUUACCACGGUGUGACUCAUGACUGGGGUAAAGUCGUAACAAGGUAGCCCUACCGGAAGGUGGGGCUGGAUCACCUCCUUA
rnacentral:rRNA from 1 species